rnacentral:rRNA from 1 species
CACCGGCUAACUACGUGCCAGCAGCCGCGGUAAUACGUAGGGUGCAAGCGUUGUCCGGAAUUACUGGGCGUAAAGAGUUCGUAGGCGGUUUGUCGCGUCGUUUGUGAAAACCAGCAGCUCAACUGCUGGCUUGCAGGCGAUACGGGCAGUCUUGAGUACUGCAGGGGAGACUGGAAUUCCUGGUGUAGCGGUGAAAUGCGCAGAUAUCAGGAGGAACACCGGUGGCGAAGGCGGGUCUCUGGGCAGUAACUGACGCUGAGGAACGAAAGCGUGGGUAGCGAACAGGAUUAGAUACCCUGGUAGUCCACGCCGUAAACGGUGGGCGCUAGGUGUGGGUUCCUUCCACGGAAUCCGUGCCGUAGCUAACGCAUUAAGCGCCCCGCCUGG